UACAGAGGGGGCAAGCGUUGUUCGGAAUUACUGGGCGUAAAGGGCGCGUAGGCGGCCUGCUAAGUCGAACGUGAAAUCCCUGGGCUCAACCCAGGAACUGCGUCCGAUACUGGUUGGCUUGAAUCCGGGAGAGGGAUGUGGAAUUCCAGGUGUAGCGGUGAAAUGCGUAGAUAUCUGGAGGAACACCGAUGGCGAAGGCAGCCCCCUGGGCUAACACUGACGCUCAUGCACGAAAGCGUGGGGAGCAAACAGG
rnacentral:rRNA from 1 species